UACGUAGGGGGCAAGCGUUGUCCGGAUUUAUUGGGCGUAAAGAGCGUGUAGGCGGCCAGACAGGUCCGUUGUGAAAACUCGAGGCUCAACCUCGAGACGUCGAUGGAAACCGUCUGGCUAGAGGACCGGAGAGGAUAGUGGAAUUCCCAGUGUAGUGGUGAAAUACGUAGAGAUUGGGAAGAACACCAGUGGCGAAGGCGGCUAUCUGGACGGUUUCUGACGCUAAGACGCGAAAGCGUGGGGAGCAAACAGG
rnacentral:rRNA from 1 species